GACCUGAGAGGGUGAUCGGCCACACUGGGACUGAGACACGGCCCAGACUCCUACGGGAGGCAGCAGUAGGGAAUCUUCCGCAAUGGACGAAAGUCUGACGGAGCAACGCCGCGUGAGUGAUGAAGGGUUUCGGCUCGUAAAACUCUGUUGUUAAGGAAGAAUACUUGAGGUAGUAGUUUGAUGGUGAAAGGAUGUAUUUGCUCUGAUUUGGACAGUGAUGGAAGCGAAGAGGGAGUGACUCAGCCCACAGACCCAGGGGAUGGCUGUCGUCAGGUGGCUGAGAACCCAGUAGACUUCCCCCAAGUCUCAUGGCCUUGCAGACACCAGCAAGUCCCCUGGUUCUCUGCAUCCCCUGUCUGCUGGAGAGGGGCAGGCCCAGGGGAGAACAGGGAAGGAUCAGCCAGAGCACAGACAUCAUGGAAGAUAGCAUACACAGGGGCUGGCAAGGAGCGGUGACACUAACAUAAGGAGUCUGAUGGCUACUAUUUUAAACGUUCUCUUAAAGUUUCCC
rnacentral:rRNA from 1 species